rnacentral:lncRNA from 1 species
CUUGUCUAUGUUGCUCGGGUCCUGAGCUCGGUCGCCAUGGCAGCCCGCGGGCUAGGGUUUCGGAGGCGAGGAGGGAGGGAGAGCUGAGCUGUGAAGGUUGGACGCGGCACGCGGCUAGGGAGUGGAAGGAGGAGGAGGGCGCGGUAGCUGUGGGAGGAGGACAGGACUCCUCUGCCGGUGCUUGGUGUGUAGAAGGAGCUCCGUGACGCCGUGGGCUACGAAUCUGGCCAAGGGCUAAGUUGCUCAGGUGGAUCUGAGGCCGGUGAUGGGGGAGGCGAGGUCGCCGACGGGGUUGGUGAGGCGAGGUCGCCGGCAGCUGGUUUUGGAUGGGAUCUCGGGGGCGAGGGGGCAGAGCAGGAAGACGACUGGUUUGGGUUUGGUUGGAG